CCUACGGGAGGCAGCAGUGGGGAAUAUUGGACAAUGGGGGCAACCCUGAUCCAGCCAUGCCGCGUGUGUGAAGAAGGCCCUCGGGUUGUAAAGCACUUUCAGUGAGGAAGAACGCCUGGUGGUUAAUACCCAUCAGGAAAGGCAUCACUCACAGAAGAAGCACCGGCUAACUCCGUGCCAGCAGCCGCGGUAAUACGGAGGGUGCGAGCGUUAAUCGGAAUUACUGGGCGUAAAGCGCGCGUAGGUGGCUUGAUAAGCCGGUUGUGAAAGCCCCGGGCUCAACCUGGGAACGGCAUCCGGAACUGUCAAGCUAGAGUGCAGGAGAGGAAGGUAGAAUUCCCGGUGUAGCGGUGAAAUGCGUAGAGAUCGGGAGGAAUACCAGUGGCGAAGGCGGCCUUCUGGACUGACACUGACACUGAGGUGCGAAAGCGUGGGUAGCAAACAGGAUUAGAUACCCUGGUAGUC
rnacentral:rRNA from 1 species